UUUAGGAAACUUGGAGAAGAAAUUGUUUAUAAUGGAGUUGUGCUUGUUGUUCUCACAUAUCUGCCCUCUCAUUGGCUAGAAUGUUUAUUUAGUCAUUUAUUUUACCCCAAGUCCAGUUGAGGGCGACACUACACCUUUUGAGUGUAGUUCGCCAUAAAACCCAAAUAAGAAUACCUCGCUCUUGCUCUGUGCCUACAUUCCCGCACAGUAGGUGGCGGCAUGCACUUAAACGAUUGUUUGCGGAGCGCCUUGACAUAGAAGAAGACUCAGCUGAGUCACAGCGAAAAAGGGAUUAGUUAUAAAUAUCUUUGAAUGAGUCUAACUAUCCUUAGAUUUAGACGUCUGUCAACAUGGCUGACUCCCAGAAGCAUCCGUUAAUUUUAUACCUCAGUAAUCCUGCACCACCAGAGACCGCUUUAAAACCUAAAAUUAUUCGACCAGCAGCCAAGAAGCAGAACGAUUGUCCCGUGGACAGACCCGAGUAAAUUUAGGUGUUGCGUUUUUACGAUGGUUAGCUGCCACCCCCAUCCACAACCUGCUGCCCCCCUCCCUCCCCAGAAGAUAUUAUCGUGAACAUCGACUGCCUGCUGCAGCUGUUUCAGCGGUGUGAGCAGUGCAGGCAUGAGAGUGUGAUCCAGACACAGGGAGACAGGACAUGCCUCUCUGUGACCCAACACUGCCAGAGCUGGAACCACCUCAGGACAUGGGCAAGUAACCAGUCUGUUUUCCAGACAACACACAGAGGAAAUGGGGAAGAGCCACAGAACACCCAGGUUGGUAUUUCAGGAUUAACAGUUGAUAUUGUGAGGUAACUAACUUCAGUUGUGUGUAUUCUGUGGUAUCGCUAGCUCUGACAGAAUUAUCCCUCCAAUAAUGGUGUAUGCCUUGCUGAGGUGCAAGUGGCUCUGCCGUCUGAGGACACACAAUGCCCUGGAGCUGACCGGCCCCUGGAGAUGGAGGUGACCGUAGACCAGCCACCAAGACCAGGGGGAAGUGGCUUGUCAUUGGUGAAGUGGAAGGAGGGGAACAAAGGAGCUGAGGAGAUCAAGAAAGUGACUGAGGUGGUGUUGGACAGUGAGACGGACAGUGCACGAAGUCAGGAUGAAAAUAGCCUGUCCUUACAGGAGAAUGAUGGAGGAGAGAAGAGAAGGGAAAGUCCCUAGGAGGUGAACAACAGGAGAAUGGUGCUGAGCAGCGGGCCUCUAUUGCGGUGAUGAUAUACUCUAUAGGGGCUGAGAACUCUGAAAGCCAAACCUCUCAGAUAGACAGAGGAGAGAAGACGGAGGUGGCUGCAGAUGGGUGUGAGCUGGAGGGUGAGGAGAAGGAAAAAGAUGAGGAAGAUGGCCAAAGAGAGAGUGACUCUGACUUUGACCCAGAGGAAGAGGAGGAUGAGGGACUGAGAGAGUGACACUGAAUUUGACCCAGAGGAGGAGAGCACAACAAGUAGUAGAGGGAGAAGCAGAGGAAGAGGUAGGAGGAAAGGGAGAAUCAGGGGAAGAAGUAGGGGGGUAGGGGGAAAGGGAGAAGCAGAGGAAGGCAAUUGCAGCAGCCUACAGGAGAGACUCAUUUGAAUGAGUCUGCUGAAGAAUCAGAUGGCUCACCUUCAUCAUUACCCCGGAGAGACCAGCAGGACCAGGAGUCUUUCAGCGGUGCCGCUGGAGAACUGGGCUCUGGGUCCUUACCAGCAUCCAGCAGAAAUUCAAACACUCCAAACGCCAUAUGGUCCUCUGUCCUGAAUGUGGCGUCCUGUACACCACCAGGCUGCAGCACCAUAAGUGUGAACACAAGUUCAUGGUCUGCUGUCCAGACUGUGGGAAACGCUGUGUGAAGGAACUCAGCCUCAAGAGUCACCAGAGGCAACACCAUCAGGACCUUAAGUUUCCCUGUAAAUUCUGCCUCCAAUCCUUCAGGACGUGCCUGGACAAGCUGACCCACGAAGACCCACAGAUUCAAAAAUCACAGAUGCUACAGCUGCUCAGAGUGCCCACUGAGGUUUGACAACAUCCUCAUACGGAACUGGCAUCUCAGAGAGCACAAGUCCAAGAAACACAUCUGUCAUACAUGUUACAAGGAAUUCGACAAAGGUCACCGCCUAAAGAGGCACGAGCUGUCCUAUAGUGACGACAAACCCUUCAAGUGCCAGGUAUGCAAUACUAAUUAGUUACUCCAAACUGAAGCCUGGUUUAGACAGAUGGGUGCCGUGUUUAGAUGAGUUUUGCUUGGAUCACAACCCAUAGGGCCCUCAAACUCAACUCUGGACCUCAAUCAGGGACUGAUUUAGACCUGGGAAACCAGGUGGGUGCAAUUCAUUAUCAGGUAGAACAGAACUAGCAGGUUCCAGACCUUGUAGAGUAAGAGUUGAAUACCCCUGCCAUAGGGGGUGGAAGGGAAUAAGUAGGUAUAUGUGCUAGCUAAACAGGCCCUUAGGAGAGAGAUAGUGGAUGUGGCGGUGCCAAUGGGCAAGGCAGAGGCUAAGGGAAUGAUUUGGACAGCGGUGGCAGGAGCAGUGGAACAGAGACGGUAAAGGCAGGCAUCUAUUCUAAGUAAAGAGGAAAGUCGGGGACGGGAGGAAGAAACAGAUGGGGCCAUUUUUACAAGGCAUGGACACAGAUGGCUGAAUAAGUCAUUACUAUUUCAUAGCCUUUAUUUAACCAGGAAAAGCCCAUUGACACCCAGAGUCUCUUUUUUUCAAGGGAGAUCUGGCCAAGAAGGCAGCAACAAUCUAUACAUUACAGAAUUAAAACAUACAAUUCAACAACAUGAUCCAGCCUAAAAAAAGCAUUUGCACUAUUAGGAAGGUGUCUGUGACGCACACAUGUAGCCAUAGCUAAAUCUCCCUGUCCUUUGCACUUUAACAUUAAUUUGCACCAGACAUUUAGUGUCCAAUCAAAUAAUGACCACAUGGUUUUCAUUUCAAAUAUCAAAGAUACACCUUUAUUGAAUUGUUGCAUACACUAAUUCUAAGUUAAGUCCACACCCUUAGAUUUAUAUUUGUAACAUCUUAAUCUAAUAAUUAUAGAUGCGUUUUACCAUUUGAGAUUUUGCAGCACGUUUCUGGUGCCUUAUCUGCAGCAUUGUGGCCAGCUUGUUAGAGGGCCUGCUGCUAAUUGGACCUUCCUAUUAUCCUGAAAUAGAGGGGUGUAGGUAGCAUAUCAUUUUAAACUGGAUUUCCCCAGUUUAACAUGAUAUGCUGGAUUUCCCCAGUUUAACAUGAUAUGCUGGAUUUCCCCAGUUUAACAUGAUAUGCUAGAGUUUUCUAUUUAAAAUGCAUAUAUUUAAAACAAAUUACGUUAAUGAUAUUUAUGCUUAAAAUCAUGUUUCUGCAAAAAAUGUUGGGAAUAGAUCCUUUAUUUAUUUAUUUAUUUUUGUUAUGUGUAUCUUUGUAGGCUACCUACCUCGUAUUUGGAACUGGCCAUUCUCUUUUAUAUUCUGUGUGCUCAACUAACUCUUGAGUUUCAAGUGUCAAAUAAAUCAGAAAAAUUGGACAUUGUGGCUGUGGCAGAGAAGGUUCUGGGCCUGAAAGACGGAAGAAGUACGGCCCUCCCAGGCUCCUGAGGCUGUGUCGGGAUCAGAUUUUGACUGUGAUUUUAGCAGAAGAAAUAGUGUUAAUUUUGUUUUUGGUAGUUAGUAUGAAUAUUUUAAUCCAAAACGUUUUUGGGGGAUAUUUUACUGCCCCGCACAGUAGGUGGUGGCAAUACACCUUAUAGGUUAGACUACAGCCACCCAAGUCAAAGACUGUUCUCUCUAUUUCCACAUGGCAAGCUGUGCCAGUGCAUCAAGUCUGACACCAACAGGCUCCUGAAGAGCUUCCAUCCCCAAGCCAUAAGACUGCUAAAUAGCUAACUAAAUGGCUACACAGACUGAGUUGACCCUUGUAUUUGAUUUUUGCACACUCAGAGGCCCUACACACUCACUCACUCCAUUCACUCACACACACACAUAAUAUGCAUAUACAUUUAUGCUGACUACGCAUACCCGCUCACAUACAAUCAUCAUAUGUGCUGCUGUGACUGUUUCUUAUAUUCUGAUGCCUUGUCACCUUAACCCUAUACACAUCUACCUAUCAUUACAGUAUCCCUGUACAUUGUAAAUAUGGUACUGGAACUGCUUGCUGACUUUUUCGUGUUCUUAUUUCUCAUGUUUUUGUUCUACCUUGUUAUAUUCAGUAUUACACUACUGCAUUGUUGAGGUUAGAGCUUGCAAGAAAGACAUUUCAUUGUGCAUGUGACAUUGAACUAGUCUGCCAAUAAACCUCGAAGAAGAAGUUGGUUCUGCUGUGUAGACCUCAGUUCUACAUUUAUCUAUGUUUUGAGUUGUUAGAACACUUUUACUUCCAUUCAUUUACAGGCCUUUUAAGUACUUUUUAUGCACUAUGGUUUUUGUCUUCUCUUUUGUAAACAAUUUCAAGUUUGGGAAAAUAAACCCCCUAAUAUUUGCACCCUA